ensembl:rRNA 5S_rRNA 5S ribosomal RNA
GUUCCACCCUGAACGCACCCAAUCUCGUCUGAUCUUAGAAGUUAAGCAGGGUCAGGCCUGUUUAGUACUUGGAUGGGAGAACCUAAGUAUUUCAAGAAACC